rnacentral:sRNA from 1 species
CCCUAGCCCCGAUUGUAGAGGAAAUCCUUUUUUGAAAAAAAAGAUUGCAACGGAAAGCGGGAAAAAGC